rnacentral:rRNA from 1 species
UACGUAGGGUGCGAGCGUUGUCCGGAAUUAUUGGGCGUAAAGAGCUUGUAGGCGGUUUGUCGCGUCUGCUGUGAAAAUCCGGGGCUCAACCCCGGACUUGCAGUGGGUACGGGCAGACUAGAGUGUGGUAGGGGAGACUGGAAUUCCUGGUGUAGCGGUGAAAUGCGCAGAUAUCAGGAGGAACACCGGUGGCGAAGGCGGGUCUCUGGGCCAAAAACUGACGCUGGAGGGAGCGA